GGAAAAUCAAAAUCAAUAAAAAGAUUAACUUCCAAGAGUUCCACAUGUAAAUUACGAUCAAAAUCCAUUCUGGAACUAAUGUGCAACAACAUAACAGGGCAAAACAAUCUUCAAUCUAAACCAAAAAUUGUUUAAAAAAGAAACUCCAAGCAUAUUCGAGGAGCAGCAACAGUGAGCAACAGAUACGAAGCGAAGAAUCACAGCCUUCUUCCACGUCUGCCUCCCUUUCUACGGGUACUGUCAGUGGGAAUGGGGGUAACAUCCUCUAAGGUGAAGAGGGUACAUGUAAGCUUACAAGAGUUGAAAUUAUGGGACCCAAUGAAUUGUGGAGAAAUGAAAGGGUGAAAAAAUCUUACCUAUGCGUCCAAUUUUCAUGCCAGAACGAGCAAGGGCUCUAAGUGCUGACUGUGCACCAGGACCUGGUGUCUUGGUCUUAUUCCCCCCAGUAGCUCUAAGCUUUAUAUGAAGGGCAGUAAUACCCAACUCCUGCAAGACAACAAACAGUAACUGCCAUAAGUUCACCACACAUAAACCAUGUAUUGCAACACAAGUCAGAGAAGGAUAUAAGACCUUGCAGCGAUGAGAAACAUCUUGGGCUGCAAGCAUGGCUGCAUAAGGGGAAGACUCAUCCCUAUCAGCUUUCACCUUCAUGCCACCUACAUUUGAAAAAUGAAAGGAACAAGCUAGUGAAAUAUUACUCAGAAAAAUAACCUGACUGUCAGACAUGAAUAUCAUCAAAACAUGUAAUAUUGACACCAAAAACCCAAGAAAGCAAAAGCACAGAGGUGGUAAUAAUAAAAUCAAAAGCCAAGAUAGCAAAAGAAACCAGUUUUCUAAAGAAAACCAUAACCCAUACCAGUAAUGCGAACCAUUGUUUCCCUUCCAGACAAAUCAGUCACAUGCUGGAAAUUCAAAAUAGCAUGUUAAAAGGGAUAAACUACCAAACAAAAUCAAUGUAAACGGAGUAUGUUAUUGCUUACAAUGAAUGUGUCAUUAAAUGAAGCAAAGAUGUGAGCCACCCCAAAAACAUGCUCGCCCUCUGGAACAGCAGGUCCUAGGUUAGUAUUCUCCUCCUUGGGCUCUCUAACCUUCCUUCUCGACUACAAAGCACCACAAAUCAAAGAAUAAAUCAGUUCAUCUUAUUUGCACGCUGUAAAUCUAUGAAUCUGCUAUAGCAACAAUGCCUAAAAGGGAAGCACCAAUGCUCCAUUUGAAUCCCAAAAACACCGUCGAAAGAGAAUGCAAGGUUGAAUGUAAUCUAAUUAGUAAAUGGAACAUAUGAAAAGCUAGUGUACAGUAAAAAAAUGCCAUUCUAAAAUAUAAACCCCAUAACGUCAAGAAAGUUUAUUAUUAAAUUGAAUUUAGUCUGUAAAACUCACUCUUUUCUAUAGUCAAAUCGCAAACUGUUUUUUUUCUUCUCAGAAGCCAAACAAGAUUUAGCUUAUCAACGAGAAUAUAGAUAAAUGCAAAGAGAUACUCACCAUGGCUUAGGCAAAACGAAGUAGUUAGACACUAGGGUUUUGUGAAAGCUUUCGUUGAUGCUUUGGCCUCCGACGACUCUAGCCUUCGAAGAGAGGCUACUAAAUCAGCUGCCACCAUUUUAUAGCUAGGUUUUCGACCCUGGCCUUAAAUGACGAAAAGGUCCUUGUCUUUAUUCAAUAUUUGCAAAUGGGUUAAUGCCUCCUUUUAUAUUUUUAAGUAAACUAGCUUACUUGUUUACCCAACUUUAGGGUAAUUUCAUUUUAGCCACUUAAAAUAAAAAUUUUACAAUUUUAUCACUUAACUUUUAGGGUACUUUUAUUUUAGUAAUUCAACUGUAAAAUCUAUAAUAAGUGGCAAAUUUGGGGGAGGUUGGCAUUGGCCUUGGCCCAGCCUAAAAUUAUAAAAAUAAAUAUUUAUUAUUUAGCCCCUUAAUAUUUGAAAAUUUUGGCCCUCCCUUAUAUUGUUUGGCCCCCCUUUCCAACUUUGAACAUUAAAAAAAGAAAUUUCUUUUUUUAAUUUUUUUCAUAUAAUAUUUUUAAAAUUUUUAACUUUAAAUAUUUAUAUAAUAUAUUACAACUUUCUUUUUUUAGAUGAUAGUUGUUCACUUUUUUAAUAAAAUAUUAAAUGUGAAUUUAGGUUAAAAUUCAAUUUGUUAACUAGUGAAAAAGAAGUCUCUUUUCCUAUUGCUAUUAACAACUAUUGUCAUCAAUGUUUGUCCUUCAAACGUAACAUCGAGUUCAUCUUCUAAGUUUUUUUUUUAUCUUUUUACAAUUUUACUAUUGUUUUUAUUAUGUUUUAAAGUUUAUAGUUUAAUUUUAUUUUAUAGUUAUUAAUUUUUUAUCUUUCAAGAUAUUAUAGUUAUGAAGUCGAAAACAAUUGAUUCAUUUUUUAAAAAGAAAAGUACAAAGACACACAAUCACCUUCAGAAGCGUCACAAAUUGAGGUACCACCUUCAUCGUUUUGCUCCUUUAAGCUCUGAUGCUUAUCCUUUUAAAAUUCCUAGAGUCGAAGAUAAGGCACUUGAUUUGUCUAACUUAGAAUGUGAACAUGGGUUACAUAAGCAAAUAUAUGAGUAUCUAGUUAAUAUGCGUGAUGUAACACCUCUAACCCAUAUCCAUCACCGGUGUAGGGUUAAAGGCAUUACCGGACAAAUCAACACAUUUAGCAUUCAUUUCUCAAUCAUCAUAACAUCAUAGGUCAUACAUCAUUACAAAGUCCCUUAUAUUAGGUCAACGAGACCUCAAAGUCCCUUAUAUUAGGUCAACGAGACCUCAAACAUGCUUUAGAAAAGGGUUGGGACUAAACCGAGCUUAUACAAAAUUUUUCGAAACUUAAACAUUUUUUAAAGUAUAAAGGUCACACGCUCGUGUGAACAGGCCGUGUGUAUCACAUAGCAUGAGACACACUCAUGUGUCUAAGUCGUGGUAAAACAGGGCAUACAUACUGACUUGUCGACACAACCAUAAGACAAGCCCGUGUGCCUUGGCCAUGGUCGAAAUUGACUUGGGUCACACGGCUGACCACAUGCUCGUGUGUCUAGCUUGUGUACCCUUCGAAAUGGCCACACACGCCCAUGUAUUAAGGCUGUGUGCCUCACACAGACACCAGACACGCCCGUGUAUCUAGGCCGUGCUCAAGACUGACUUGAAUAGCUAAAUUGCAACAGACACAUGGUCGAGACACACACCCGUGUGCUCAACCGUGUGGGGUGAAAUUAGGCUUAGUUUAAGCCACAUUUCCCACCUAUCUCAAGCAUUCCAAAACCAUAACAUUUUAGCAUUAUUUGCAUACAUUCAUAAGCAACCAAAUCAACCAAUUCAUAAAUAUAUUUCAUGCCAUUCAAUUACCAUCCAAUUCACUACUCAAUUUCACAACCAACAUACCAACUCAAUGUACCAAAAUGAUCACAACUUGUAUAAGUUUCAAAUACAUAAAUUCAUCAUUUUAUUACAUACUUCAUACCACAAAACUUACCAAUUCAACAUUCAAUAUUCAAACCAUCAAAUAAACAUUAUAUUUAUCAUAUAACUUACCUAUCAAACACAUCACUUAGGCCAACUUAAAAAGCCAUACAUACCAACAUUUACAAGCCAAAUCUCAUGGCUAGAUAUUCACAUCACAAAACAUACAAAAAUACUUCUAGCCUAUACAUGCCAUAUACCAUAUAUACAACUCUCAAAAUGGUACCAAAACAGAUGAUUAAUAGUGUGAAUGAGUCACUAACGAUCCCCGAAACCGAGCUAGCUUUAAAAUACUGUAAAACAUAGAACAAUUCACACAGUAAGCUUUACAGCUUAGUAAGUUUGUACCAUAAAUAAUCAAUAGUUUAUAUUAUACGAAACAUCAACUAAUAAACACUUAGUAUUUCACAAUUCAUCCAUCAAUUCAAUUCUAUCUCAUUUAAUAUGUUCAUACAAAUUCACAAGCUUCAUACACAUAGUAUCAUCUACCACAUAGGUAUUGAACAUGUAACACCCCUUACCCGUAUUCCUUACCGGAACAGAGUAUGAGGUAUUACUAAAUUUUUAAAAAUUUUCGACAGCAUUCCUACUUAUUUUUGCUUAAACCUCCUGCAAAUUUAGAACACAUUCCAAUAUACCAACCAAUUUCAUUUGUAUAAACACACAUAUAGUUUAACUAUUAAUAAACACUACAUUUAAAAGGGAACCAUAACAUAUAUUUACAUGAUGAUCCCACAUUACAUAAAGUGUCUAUACAUGCCAUAAAAUUUCGGAACACUAGUAGUAAAAUACCCCAAAUGUGAAGGAUAGUGUAGAUGAUUGUCUGACUUCGUUCCAAUUUCCGAGUUGUUGGAAGUCACUAUAACCAAGAGAAAAAUAAAAUCGAGUAAGCAUAUAGCUUAGUAAGUAAACACAUGAUAAAUAAGUAAUUACUCUCAUAACUACACCAAAAUAUAAACUUAUUCAUGAAUAACUUUAUUGUUUAGGCAAUUUCCAGCAAGCUGUUUUUCUGCGUCAUAGUUGCUAAUUUAUUUUUAUCUGGAGCUACAGGGCUCCAAAUUGAGUUCCGUAAAUUUUCCCUGAAACUAGACUCAUAUACCAUUUCACCAUAAAAAUUUCAGAAUUUUUAACCCAACCAAUUAGUACAGUUUAUUCAUUAAACCUUCCCCUGUUUCACUGCCCAACGGUUCUGACCCUUCCUCACUAAAAUUUACUUAACUCUCUGUAAAAAUUUGAAAAAUGGGUUUUCUUGUUUCUAAUAAAAAUAGACUCAAUAAGGAUUCCAGGGAUAUAAAUUUCAUGCCAUAAUUAUUUUUUUACAUUUUUUGGUAAUUUUCCAAAGUUAGAACAGGGGAUCUCGAAAUCAAUCCAGCCCUGUUUUAGUAAAAUUCAGAUAUCUCCAAAAAUACAACUCUUUUGCUUAUUCUAUUUCUUUCAUAUGAAAACAGACACAUCCAGCUUCAAUUUCAUAUAUUAUUCAGCUUCCCAUUCAUUUUCCACCAUUUAUGGUGAUUUUUCAAAGUUACCCAACUGCUGUUGUUCAACACAGUUUAUAAUUAAAUCGUUCCUUUUUCAUUUUUGAUAUUUUCUCCCAUCUCAUACAUGGAUCGAUUUAGUGUCCAACUCAAUAUUUACCCCAUAAAAUUUUCCACCAUAUGGCAAUAUUCACCUUCCACACUUUUUCGUUGAACACUCGGAAUGUUAACCGUUAUUGGUGGAUCUCGCACUUAGCACCACCACUGAAUCGGGGAAUCAGCACUUAGCAACCCCUCGGGGGAAUCAGCACAUAGCAACCCCCUUUUCAUUUCAAAGAUACAGUGGAUAUCGCACUUAGCACCACCAAUGAACCGGGGAAUCAGCACUUAGCAACCCCUUGGGGGAAUCAGCACAUAGCAACCCCCUUUUCACAUUUCAAAGAUAUGGUGGAUCACGCACAUAGCACCACCAAUGAAUCGGGGAAUCAGCACACAGCAACCCCUUUAUAUACAACAUACUCCGGCUUAUUCCGAGUGUUCAACCCAUAAACCAUAUAUUGCAACCCUUUACCACAUUUCCCGAUUUAACAACAUUUUUAGGAUAUGGCCAAACAUUUAUUUUAAUUCCAAAUAAAUCUCAACAUAUAUCAAAUAAUGUCAAAAUAAUACAUUAAGUCACGUGUUUACUUACCUCGGUGCAAAAUAUCGUAAUUUUGCACUUUACUCCACUAUCUUUUCUUUUCCUCGUUUGAUAUACUCUUCACGUCUUUCUUGAUCUAUAAUAGCAAAUUUAACUCGUUUAAAGUCCACAUUUAUUAAAAUAAUCCACCACCCAACUUUUUGAAAAUUACAAUUUUGCCCCCAAACUUUUGCAUAAUUACACUUUUGUCCCCAAGCUCGGAAAUUAAACUUCAUCACUUAUUCUUAAUUUUUAUAACAUGCUGAACAUUUUUCCCUUCUAUGGAAACAUCAAAUUCCCACUCCAACACAUACUUUUGAAUAUUAAUUAUUUUUACCGAUUAUGUCUAUUUACCCGUUUUCGCUUAAAAUUGCUUAGCAAAAGUUGUUUAACAUAAUCUCUAGCUUCAUAUUCCACCAUAAAACAGCAAAAUAAACACAUUUCACCUAUGGAUAUUUUUCCAAAUAUGAACCCUAACAUGAAUUAAUGGUAGAAUAAGCUAAACCAAGUUACCGGGACUCCAAAAAUACGAAGAACAUUAAAAACGGGGCUUAGAAUCACUUACUAUGGAGCUUGAAAGCUUAAAAACCCUAAAUAUGGCUUCCCCCUUGCUGAUUUCGUUCACCAUGAAGAAGAUGAGCAUAUUUUGCCAUCUUUUUCCCAUUUAAUUCUAUUUAAUAACCAAAUGACUAAAAUGCCCCCAUUUAAAAAAAUCUAUUUCACCCAUUUCUUAUGUCUAUUUUUGUCCAUCAACUAACUAAUGGUCUAAUUACCACAUAAAGACCUCCAAUUUAAAAUUUCAUAACAAUUAGACACCUCUAAGAUGUAGAAUUCAACUUUUGCACUAUUUACAAUUUAGUCUUUUUGACUAAAUUGAGUGCCCAAACGUCGAAAUUUUCGAACGAAAUUUUUACGAAAAUUUUCCGUGAAAUUGUAGAUCAUAAAAAUAUAAUAAUAACCAUAUUUUCCCUCGUCGGAUUUGUGGUCCCGAAACCACUAUUCCGACUAGGCCCAAAAUCGGGCUGUUACAACUCUCCCCCCCUUAGGGAUUUUCGUCGCCGAAAAUCUUACCGGAAAAGAGGUUUGGGUACUGUUUCCUCAUAAUUUCCUCCGGUUCCCACGUAGCCUCUUCCAUUCCAUGUUUUUGCCACAACACUUUCACUAAGGCUACACUUUUAUUUCUUAACUGUUUGACCUCCCGAGCCAAAAUCUUUAUGGGUUCUUCUUCAUAAGUCAUAUCUGGUCGAACCUCAAUCUCUGUAGGAGAAACUAUAUGUGAAGGAUCCGAACGAUAACGUCGCAACAUCGACACAUGAAAUACAUUAUGUAUCUUUUCCAACUCUGGCGGUAAAGCUAACUGAUAUGCUACAGGGCCAACUCUCUCGGUAACUUCAUAUGGUCCAAUAAAACGUGGACUUAGUUUGCCUUUACGACCAAAUCUCAGAAUCUUCUUCCAUGGGGAUACUUUCAAGAACACUUUAUCACCCACUUGAAACUUAAUUUCUUUUCUCUUUAAAUCCGCAUACGACUUUUGCCGAUCUGAGGCAGUUUUUAGGCAAUCACGGAUUAUUUUCACCUUUUCUUCAGUUUCUUUCACCAGGUCGACUCCAUGAAUCCGAUUCUCACCGAGUUCAGUCCAAUAUAAAGGGGUUCUACAUUUACGCCCAUAUAAUGCUUCAUACGGUGCCAUUUGUAUACUUGACUGAUAACUAUUAUUAUAAGCAAAUUCAACCAGUGGUAGAUAUUUCUCCCAACUGUCCUUCAUUUCUAAAAUACAACACCGGAGCAUGUCUUCAAGAACUUGAAUCACCCUUUCUGAUUGUCCGUCAGUUUGCGGAUGAAAUGCAGUACUGAAAUUCAAUUUCGUACCCAAAGCUUCCUGUAACUUUAUCCAAAACCUCGAAGUAAAUCUCGGAUCUCUAUCCGAUAUAAUAGAUUUAGGCACCCCAUGUAGUCUCACUAUUUCAGCAACAUAUAAUUCAGCCAACCUGUCAAGUGAAUAAUCAAUGCGUAUCGGAAUAAAAUGGGCUGACUUUGUCAAUCUAUCCACAAUUACCCAAAUAGCAUCUUUCUUCUUUGGAGUUAAAGACAAUCCUGUCACGAAAUCCAUCGUGAUACUGUCCCACUUCCAUUCUGGAAUCGUUAUCGGUUGAAGUAAACCCGAUGGCACUUGAUGCUCAGCCUUCACUUGUUGACAGAUUAAACAUUUUGUUACAAAUUCCGAGAUAUCCUUUUUCAUGCCCGGCCACCAAUACAACUUCCUCAAAUCAUUGUACAUUUUCACACUACCCGGAUGGACUGAUAAAUCACCACUGUGUGCCUCACCCAAAAUAGUCCGAAUUAGCUCAUCAUUUCUCGGUACACAUAUUCUGUCCCUGAACAUCAGGCAAUCAUCUGAACCAAUUUGAAAAUCUGAGUCAACACCUGCUUCACACUGAGCUCUCUUGGCUUGCAAUUUACUGUCAUUCUUUUGAGAUUCCCGAAUUUGCUGAAGAAAUAACGGUCUAGCUCUCAAUUCAACCAACAUUGAGCCAUCAUCAGAUAAAGUUAACAUCGUACCCAUAGCUCUCAAAGCAAAUAAAGAUUUUCUGCUCAAGGCAUCAGCAACCACAUUAGCUUUCCCGGGGUGAUAAUCAAUCACUAGCUCAUAGUCUUUGAUUAGCUCGAGCCAUCUUCGUUGCCGCAAAUUCAAGUCUUUUUGACUCAUCAAAUAUUUCAAACUCUUAUGAUCAGUGAAGAUUCGGCACUUUUCACCAUACAAAUAAUGACGCCAAAUUUUUAAAGCAAAAACAAUGGCAGCCAAUUCUAAAUCAUGCGUCGGAUAAUUCUUCUCAUGCGGUUUCAACUGUCUCGAAGCAUAAGCUAUUACUUUGCCCUCUUGCAUUAACACACACCCAAGGCCAUUCAACGAUGCAUCACUGUAAAUUACAAACUCCUUCCCGGACUCAGGUUGCACCAACACUGGCGCCUCAGUCAAUAAUGCCUUCAACUUUUCAAAACUCUGUUGACAUUUAUCGGUCCAUUCAAACUUGACAUUCUUCUGCAGUAACUUAGUCAUAGGAGAAGCAAUCAUCGAGAAUCCCUUGACAAACCGUCUGUAAUACCCAGCUAAGCCCAGGAAGCUUCUAACUUCAGUCACAUUCUUGGUGGCUCCCAAUCAACAAUUGCUGAAAUUUUGCUUGGAUCAACCCGAAUACCUUCACUUGAAACUAUAUGUCCUAAGAAUCCAACCUCACGAAGCCAAAACUCACUUUUGCUGAAUUUAGCAUACAAUUUCUUUUCUCUCAGAAUCUGCAACACAGUUCUCAAAUGUUCUGCAUGUUCCGAUUCAUCCCGAGAAUAGAUUAAAAUAUCAUCUAUGAACACCACCACGAACUUGUCUAAGUACAGCCGAAAAAUUCGGUUCAUCAAGUCCAUAAAAAUAGCUGGAGCAUUAGUCAACCCAAAAGGCAUUACCAGAAAUUCAUAGUGUCCAUACCUCGUUCUGAAGGCGGUUUUCGGCACAUCAGACUCUUUAACUCUCAACUGAUAGUAACCAGACCUCAAAUCGAUCUUGGAGAACACUGUUGCCCCUUUUAAUUGAUCAAACAAAUCAUCAAUUCUCGGCAAAGGAUACUUGUUCUUUAUGGUCACCUUAUUGAGCUGACGAUAGUCAAUACAAAGUCUCAUAGAGCCGUCCUUCUUUUUCACAAUAACACAGGAGCACCCCAAGGAGAAAAACUCGGUCUCACAAAUCCUUUAUCUGUCAACUCUUGUAACUGAGCUUUUAAUUCCUUCAACUCAGUCGGAGCCAUUCGAUACGGUGCAAUAGAAAUCGGUGCAGUACCAGGUAACAGAUCAAUAGAAAACUCAACUUCUCUAAUCGGAGGUAACCCAGACAAUUCCUCUGGAAAUACAUCUGGAAAUUCACAGACUACCGGCACUGAUUCAAGCUUCGACCCAGUUAUAUCAGUAUUCAACACAUAAGCAAGAUAAACUUCACAUCCCUUUCUCAAGUAUUUCUGAGCAGACAUGUGUGAAAUCACCAUAGGCAACUUAUUCGGCUCCUCUGUUUCAAUCCGGAGAAUUUCACCAUUUUCACACUUUAAUUCAAGAAUUUUCUGUCUACAAUUCACCUUGGCAUCAUGCAAUAUCAACCAAUCCAUCCCCAAAAUAACAUCGAACUCAUCAAAUGGUAACAACAUCAAAUUAGCCAGGAAACAGUGACCUUGAAUCAUCAGGGGGCAAUUCUUGCAAAUCUUAUCAACUAAGACAUACUUGCCUAAUGGAUUUGAUACUUUAACUACAUAUUCAGUGUUUUCAACAGGCAAUUUCUUACUAGAUACCAAUUUCAUGCAUACAUAUGAAUGAGUAGAGCCGGGAUCAAUCAAAGCAAUAACAUCUAUAUCAUGAAGAGAAAAUGUACCAGUAAUCACAUUGGGAGAUGAGGCAUCCUCUCGAGCACGUAUGGCAUAAGUCCUGGCAGGCGCUCUAAUUUCUGAUCCUCCAGCUGUAUCUUUCAUCACACUUUUACCACUGACUUUGCUUCCCACAUUUCUCGGCGGUCUCCCUCUACUAACAAUAUCACCCGAUCCAGCUCUUGGCAAAUUUUCUUCCUCUCUUCUCUCAGGGCAAUCUCUUACAUAUGCUCUUGGGAACCACACCUGAAACAAGCUCGUUUAAAUCCCCAACACUCACCAAUAUGUCGCCUGCCACACUGUUGACAUUCAGGCCGGGUGUUUCCUACAUUGCCCACACUUGCUACAGAGGUAGCUCGAGUUGUAGCUCCAGAAUACGACCUCCCUCGGUCUCUGCGUGAAUACCCAACUGAACCAGUUGGUCGUGGAUCCAUCCCUUUAAACUUCUUCGAAUGAGAUUGAAAUGUUCUAACCCAUUGUCCUCUUCCUUACAUCUCGAGAUUCCAUCUCUGCCCUUCUCUUUUCUCUACUCAGUUCUUCAGCUUUACAGGCCCGAUCAACUAACACCACAAAUUCUUUUAACUCUAAAAUCCCAACAUGCAAUCUGAUGUCUUCAUUUAGCCCCUCUUCAAAUCUUUUACACAUAAUAGCCUCCGUAGGCACACAUUCCUGGGCAUAUUUACUAAGCCGAACAAACUCCCGUUCAUAUUCUGCUACGGACAUUCGGACCUGUUUCAACCCGAGAAACUCUUUGCGUUUUUGAUCAAUAAAUCGUUGGCUUACAUAUUUCUUUCUAAAUUCUUCCUGAAAGAAGUCCCACGUAACUCUUUCUUUUGGAACCACCGAAUCAAUGUUUUCCACCAACGAUAUGCCGAAUCCUUCAAUAAAGGACACAGCACAUUUCAAACAAUUCUUUCAAGGUGCAAGAUAAUUCAUCAAAUACCCGAAUCGUAUUUUCAAGCAAAACUCGGCUUUUUUCCGGAUCCUCAUCAACAUUGGCCCUAAAAUCUUAGCGCCCAUGCUUUCGAAUUCUAUCAACAGGUGGCUUACUUGAUCUCACCAAUUCGGUACUCCGUGGAGCUACGGGGACCGGUUUGAGGAAUAGGAGGGGGUGGAGGCGGAGGAAACAUUCGGAUUUACACGACAUAUUUAUAUACCAAUCACUCAUCAUUCGGAGGAAGGCUUCCCGAGCCUCAUCCUGUCAUGUGUCUCAUGUCUACUCUCUUCCUGCGCGGUCCCUUGCGCGAGAGCCGGCGCGUUACUUUCAACAUCAUCUGCCACACUUCGAUCAGGAUCCAUUUACUAUAUAAAACAAAAUUUUAAAUUGUCAGAAAUCAUCACACUAUCACAAUAAUUUUAUGGCAUGUAUAGACUGACUUCCACACGUAUUUAUUGGUCCGAGAACCGACUAAACCGUAGCUCUGAUACCACUAAAAUGACACCCCUUACCCGUAUUCCUUACCGGAACAGAGUAUGAGGUAUUACUAAAUUUUUAAAAUUUUCGACAGCAUUCCUACUUAUUUUUAAACCUCCUGCAAAUUUAGAACACAUUCCAAUAUACCAACCAAUUUCAUUUGUAUAAACACACAUAUAGUUUUAACUAUUAAUAAACACUACAUUUAAAAGGGAACCAUAACAUUUUACAUGAUGAUCCCACAUUACAUAAAGUGUCUAUACAUGCCAUAAAAUUUCGGAACACUAGUAGUAAAAUACCCCAAAUGUGAAGGAUAGUGAUGAUUGUCUGACUUCGUUCCAAUUUGAGUGUUGGAAGUCACUCACUAAAAGAGAAAAAUAAAAUCGAGUAAGCAUAUAGCUUAGUAAGUAAACACAUGAUAAAUAAGUAAUUACUCCCAUAACACACCAAAAUAUAAACUUAUUCAUGAAUAACUUUAUUGUUUAGGCAAUUUCCAGCAAGCUGUUUUUCUGCGUCAUAGUCGCUAAUUUAUUUUAUCUGGAGCUACAGGGCUCCAAAUUGAGUUCCGUAAAUUUUCCCUGAAACUAGACUCAUAUACCAUUUCACCAUAAAAAUUUCAGAAUUUUUAACCCAGCCAAUUAGUACAGUUUAUUCAUUAAACCUUCCCCUGUUUCACUGCCCAACGGUUCUGACCCUUCCUCACUAAAAUUUACUUAACUCUCUGUACAAAAUUUGAAAAAUGGGUUUUUCUUGUUUCUAAUAAAAAUAGACUCAAUAAGGAUUCCAGGGAUAUAAAUUUCAUGCCAUAAUUAUUUUUUUACAAUUUUUGGUAAUUUUCCAAAGUUAGAACAGGGGAUCUCGAAAUCAAUCCAGCCCUUGUUAGUAAAAUUCAGAUAUCUCCAAAAAUACAACUCUUUUGCUUAUUCUAUUUCUUUCAUAUGAAAACAGACACAUUCAGCUUCAAUUUCAUAUUAUUCAGCUUCCCAUUCAUUUUCCACCAUUUAUGGUGAUUUUUCAAAGUUACCCAACUGCUGUUGUUCAACACAGUUUAUAAUUAAAUCGUUCCUUUUUCGUUUUUGAUAUUUCUCCCAUCUCAUACAUGGAUCGAUUUAGUGUCAACUCAAUAUUACAUAAAAUUUUCCACCAUAUGGCAAUAUUCACCUCCACACCUUUUUCGUUGAACACUCGGAAUGUUAACCGUUAUUGGUGGAUCUCGCACUUAGCACCACCACUGAAUCGGGGAAUCAGCACUUAGCAACCCCUCGGGGGAAUCAGCACAUAGCAACCCCCUUUCAUUUCAAAUAUGGAUAUCGCACUUAGCACCACCAAUCGGGGAAUCAAUAGCAACCCCNNNNNNNNNNNNNNNNNNNNNNNNNNNNNNNNNNNNNNNNNNNNNNNNNNNNNNNNNNNNNNNNNNNNNNNNNNNNNNNNNNNNNNNNNNNNNNNNNNNNNNNNNNNNNNNNNNNNNNNNNNNNNNNNNNNNNNNNNNNNNNNNNNNNNNNNNNNNNNNNNNNNNNNNNNNNNNNNNNNNNNNNNNNNNNNNNNNNNNNNNNNNNNNNNNNNNNNNNNNNNNNNNNNNNNNNNNNNNNNNNNNNNNNNNNNNNNNNNNNNNNNNNNNNNNNNNNNNNNNNNNNNNNNNNNNNNNNNNNNNNNNNNNNNNNNNNNNNNNNNNNNNNNNNNNNNNNNNNNNNNNNNNNNNNNNNNNNNNNNNNNNNNNNNNNNNNNNNNNNNNNNNNNNNNNNNNNNNNNNNNNNNNNNNNNNNNNNNNNNNNNNNNNNNNNNNNNNNNNNNNNNNNNNNNNNNNNNNNNNNNNNNNNNNNNNNNNNNNNNNNNNNNNNNNNNNNNNNNNNNUAAUUGGUGCAACGCCUGCCCUUUCUUAGUGACGCUCCACUUCUCUUCUUCUAAUCAUAGUAGGGUGAUCCCUAUGCCUAGCAAUUGAUGAAGCUGCAACUUCGUGUCUAACUCUACGUUCAUCGUUUCUAGAUUACCUCGCUUUAUCAUUAACUCUCAAAUAAUUUAGGCAUUAUAUUGUAUCAUUUCUUGUUAUUGGUUGUAUUUCUUCACUAAGAGCCUAGACUAUUCUUGGAGCUCAAUGUAUUGGUUGCAUUUGACUUUCAUGCAAAAUUUAUAAUUCAACUGACUCCCCCCCCCUACAAAAAAAAAUCUAGCUGAGCCACUGUUUGCAUGGUUGGGUUCUCAUUUUCUCAAUGUUGCAAUUGUUGGUUGCCUCUAACAGGGUACUUUUGAUAGUGUACCUAAGUGGUUGCUCUUGCUGAUGUUGCUAGUAGUAAUAAUCUCCUUGUCCCCCUAGUUAUCCAUACCAGUUGGAGCCAAUGAGUUCUUGAUAUUCCUCUCCUUGCUUAUAAUAUUGCUAAUGAUUUAACCGUACUAGUAUUGACCUCCUUGGUCAUAUUGAUUAUCUCCAUAUUCACACUAAUUACCCUGCUCAUAGCUGACCUCAUUAAAAACACUUUUGGGAUAUUUUGAGAUGGUUAAGUCGUAGUUUUUCAUUUAAUUUCCCAUGGCAGAUGUUUUCACGAGGAUGAUGGCUCACGUUGUAAAUAGUGCGAAGAGCAACUAAAAUGGUAAUGGAUCACACUUUAAAUGGUGCGAAAAGCUAUUAAAGAUGGUGAUUUAUAUGAGCCAGUAGUGUGUUUAAGCAAAGUGUUGGCUAUAUAAAUUUUCUUGUCCUUUUCCUUUCUUAAGUGAACGAGAACCAAGAGUGAAUCUGACGUGCGACGAUACUUUACUCGUAGUGGCAUAGGAAAUUCAUGCAGAAUAGAAUAGGAUGUACUCAGGCUUACGGCAUAACAUUUUAUAAAUGAAUAUACUAAUAUCACAUUUUUAAUGAAAUUAUUUAAGUCAAAACAAAAUAUAUUGUUCAUAAUUUUUAAGCCUGCUUAAGAUCAGAAACUAAAAACUAGUCCAGGGAAAGAAUCUUUAUCUUAAAAGAUUAGAUUUCCUACAGGUAUUCAAAACAUGCAGGGAAUUCAUUCUUAUCUGUCAUAACUUCAUUACUGACUCCAAUGGAAAAUCAAAAUCAAUAAAAGAUUAACUUCCAAGAGUCCACAUGUAAAUUACGAUCAAAAUCCAUUCUGGAACUAAUGUGCAACAACCAUAACAGGGCAAAACAAUCUUCAAUCUAAACCAAAAAUUGUUUAAAAAAGAAACUCCAAGCAUAUUCGAGGAGCAGCAACAGUGAGCAACAGAUACGAAGCGAAGAAUCACAGCCUUCUUCCACGUCUGCCUCCCUUUCUACGGGUACUGUCAGUGGGAAUGGGGGGGGGGUAACAUCCUCUAAGGUGAAGAGGGUACAUGUAAGCUUACAAGAGUUGAAAUUAUGGGACCCAAUGAAUUGUGGAGAAAUGAAAGGGUGAAAAAAUCUUACCUAUGCGUCCAAUUUUUUCAUGCCAAGACACGAGCAAGGGCUCUAAGUGCUGACUGUGCACCAGGACCUGGUGUCUUGGUCUUAUUCCCC
rnacentral:lncRNA from 1 species